AUUUAUUUAUUUAUUAAUUGGAGCUUUUGGGCUUAAUUUAGGUUUGACUGAGUCCGGGGUUUUCACUACACCACAAGCUAAGAACUUGUAGCCGUUAUGGUGAGAUUAGAUGCCAAAGACCUGCAAUUAGGAUGUUGACACAAGGGGACGGGGCAAGAAGAGCAGUUGUGUUUGCCUUCAGAAAUUCAUAUACUUAGUGUAAAAUGCCAUCUGUCAGGAGCUUUCAGUCCACAAAGAUAAAAUAGCAGACAUGCUCAUGUGACUGGUCAGACUAACAAAUAUGCAGAAAAUUCAGCCACUCAUAAAUAGAUAAAGAGCAUAUAGAAGCAAGUGCAUAAAAACACAUGAAAACAAUGUAUAGCAAGGAUUGUUCACAAAA